AACACUAUCGUUUCCCGGUGUACCUACGGGAAUCGAACCACGCCUAUCCCCCUACCCUUAUACUCGCGACCGGCUACCUCGUGCUGUUUUUACCGGCAAGGUGAGCGAUAGCCAGACAGAGAAAGCGAAACCUAGCGGAGUAGCUACGGUGGAAGAGAAGAACAAGACGACAGAGAGGGAAGUCUCUUACUGGUUUCUCUACUCGGGCCUGCCCACGCGCCGAGGGUGAGUUCUUGCGCGCGCAAAAGCUUUCCGAACACGAAUAUCCUGCCUUUCCGUCACUGAAAAUCCCGCGCAUUCGACAGGAUCAACCCUUUUUUUCCCCGAUAAAUUACGCAAUUUCUUCACGCAUCGAUCAGCUUCCCAUCAAUCGAGCCUGGCUCCUGCUGCGAAUUGUAGCGUCGCAAACCCGUGGGACGGCUUCCAAUUUCUCUUCGCGGUCGACAAGGAUCCGGUUCGAAGUUUCACCAUUUUCAACCUGACGUCUCGAUAGGGAAGACGUAUAAAUCGGGAUCCUUCGAACCUUUCCCUUCCGUAUCGCCGGUGAUUGGACCGAAAGCGUGACUUCGAUCUAUUGGGUGCGAUCGAUUUCUUGGUACGACUGGAAGGAACGGCGAUACCUCGAUAAAAGCAGGAAAACAUCCGAGGGAUCAACAAGAUGUCCCUUAAAAAAAUGAGAACCUCUGUGUACGAGAAGUUGGACGAGAAAGGACCAACCAUGACGUGGUCGCAAUCUGACUACUCGUAUCGUCGGAGUCGACUUUCGCGAUAAGUACAAACGGAGACGAUAAUGCGAAACAGCGACGAAAAAUCUGUGUAUAUGCACGCAUCCACCGCGGGCGUGGGAACCGCAAAUAGGGAGGGUUUUUAUCAUUCCGUACAAAAGACGAUAGCGAUUUUUUCUCGUUCAACAAUUUCACGAUGUCUGCAAAGCGAAUCAUUGUGACGAUCUACGACGGAUCUGAUGGUAACCGUGAGAGUUAAAAAGUCACGUCGGUUCUCAAGCUCCCCAUCGAUGACAGCGAUUGGGACACCUGGAGGGAUUCGAAACAGAAAGGAUGCAUCGAUUAACACAGAUGCGGGACAACACCCUAUUGUGUUCGAUCUUAUCGAAUCGACAGUUGUUUGUGCAUCGCGAUUUUUACGUGUCGAUGAGUUUACGAUACGUUUCAUCACGAUUCCAGUGGAAUUUCAUACAUUUUUUACGGGCAUUCUUAGAUUUGUAUUUGAUAAACAAUUUCUGCUCUGAUAUCUAUAAUUUAUGAUUUGUAUGCUUGUAAAUUAAAUAA